rnacentral:rRNA from 1 species
CCUACGGGAGGCUGCAGUGAGGAAUAUUGGUCAAUGGACGAGAGUCUGAACCAGUCAAGUAGCGUGAAGGAUGACUGCCCUAUGGGUUGUAAACUUCUUUUAUAAAGGAAUAAAACGAGGCACGUGUGCCUUUUUGCAUGUACUUUAUGAAUAAGGCUCGGCUAACUCCGUGCAAGGAGCCGCGGUAAUACGGAGGGUGCGAGCGUUAAUCGGAAUUACUGGGCGUAAAGAGCUCGUAGGCGGUAUGUCAAGUCAACGGUGAAAUCCCCGCGCUCAGCGUGGGAACUGCCUGUGAAACUGGCUACCUGGAGUGUGUGAGAGGAUAGUGGAAUUCCAGGUGUAGGCGUGAAAUCCGGAGAUAUCUGGAGGAACAUCAGUGGCGAAGGCGACUAUCUGGCACAUAACUGACGCUGAGGAGCGAAAGCGUGGGUAGCAAACAGGAUUAGAUACCCCUGUAGUC